GCCGGGAUAGCUCAGUUGGUAGAGCAACUGAUUCGUAAUCAGUAGGCCGGCGGUUCGAGUCCGCUUCCCGGCC
rfam:Haloalkaliphilic bacterium ACht6-1 contig00002, whole genome shotgun sequence.